rnacentral:sRNA from 1 species
CCAAGAAGUAUUAGAUGUUGCUGAUCGUCAAAACAGCGAUAAGCGUCGUACCCCUAAUGGCAGACAUCAAGAGACGAUUAACAUAAAUCUACGUGCGUAACCUUGUGGCAAGGGCUUGUGUUGAUUGUGUAAUGAAAGUAUAAAAAAUGUCUUACGGAGCAUGUGAGCAAUGAAAUUACCCAUUUAUUUGGACUAUUC